rnacentral:misc_RNA from 1 species
GAUGAAGAACGUAGCGAAAUGCGAUAAGUAAUGUGAAUUGCAGAAUUCAGUGAAUCAUCGAAUCUUUGAACGCACAUUGCGCCCUCUGGUAUUCCGGGGGGCAUGCCUGUUCGAGCGUCAUUAUAACCACUCAAGCUCUCGCUUGGUAUUGGGGUUCGCGGUUUCGCGGCCCCUAAAAUCAGUGGCGGUGCCUGUCGGCUCUACGCGUAGUAAUACUCCUCGCGAUUGAGUCCGGUAGGUCUACUUGCCAGCAACCCCUAAUUUUUUUAAGGUUGACCUCGGAUCAGGUAGGGAUACCCGCUGAACUAAAGCAUAUCAAUAAGCGGAGGA